rnacentral:rRNA from 1 species
GGAAGGUUAAUUGAUGGGGUUAGCUAACGCGAAGCUCUUGAGCGAAGCCCCGGUAAACGGCGGCCGUAACUAGAACGGUCCUAAGGUAGCGAAAUUCCUUGUCGGGUAAAUUCCGACCUGCACGAAUGGCGUAACGAUGGCGGCGCUGUCUCCACCCGAGACUCAGUGAAAUUGAAAUCGCUGUGAAGAUGCAGUGUAUCCGCGGCUAGACGGAAAGUCCCCGUGAACCUUUACUAUAGCGUUGCACUGGACUUUGAAUUUGCUUGUGUAGGAUAGGUGGGAGGCU